CCUACGGGCGGCAGCAGUGGGGAAUUUUGCGCAAUGGGGGAAACCCUGACGCAGCAACGCCGCGUGCGGGACGAAGGCCUUCGGGUUGUAAACCGCUUUCAGCAGGGACGAAUUCCGACGGUACCUGCAGAAGAAGCCCCGGCUAACUACGUGCCAGCAGCCGCGGUAAUACGUAGGGGGCGAGCGUUAUCCGGAUUCAUUGGGCGUAAAGGGCGCGUAGGCGGAGCGUCAAGCGGGACCUCUAACCCCGAGGCUCAACCCCGGGCCGGGGCCGGGACUGGCGCGCUGGAGUGCGGGAGAGGCAAGAGGAAUGCGCGGUGUAGCGGUGGAAUGCGGAGAUAGCGGGAAGAA
rnacentral:rRNA from 1 species